rnacentral:rRNA from 1 species
GACGAACGCUGGCGGCGUGCCUAAUACAUGCAAGUCGAGCGCAGGAAAUCGACGGAACCCUUCGGGGGGGAAGUCGACGGAAUGAGCGGCGGACGGGUGAGUAACACGUAAAGAACCUGCCCUCAGGUCUGGGAUAACCACGAGAAAUCGGGGCUAAUACCGGAUGGGUCAUCGGACCGCAUGGUCCGAGGAUGAAAGGCGCUUCGGCGUCGCCUGGGGAUGGCUUUGCGGUGCAUUAGCUAGCUGGUGGGGUAAUGGCCCACCAAGGCGACGAUGCAUAGCCGACCUGAGAGGGUGAUCGGCCACACUGGGACUGAGACACGGCCCAGACUCCUACGGGAGGCAGCAGUAGGGAAUCUUCCACAAUGGACGAAAGUCUGAUGGAGCAACGCCGCGUGAACGAUGAAGGCCUUCGGGUCGUAAAGUUCUGUUGUAAGGGAAGAACAAGUGCCGCAGGCAAUGGCGGCACCUUGACGGUAUCUUGCGAGAAAGCCACGGCUAACUACGUGCCAGCCGCCGCAGUAA